UACGAAGGGUGCGAGCGUUGUUCGGAAUUACUGGGCGGAAAGGGUUUGUAGGCUGAAAUGUAAGUCAAGUGUGAAAUCCCCGAGCUAAACUUGGGACGUGCAUUUGAAACUGUGUUUCUUGAGUAUCGUAGAGGGUGGUGGAUUUGUAGGUGUAGGAGUGACAUCCGUAGAGAUCUGCAGGAACAUCAGAGGCGAAGGCGACCACCUGGCCGAUGACUGACGCUGAGGAACGAAAGCGUGGGGAGCAAACAGG
rnacentral:rRNA from 1 species